UACGGGGGGAGCAAGCGUUGUUCGGAUUUACUGGGCGUAAAGGGCGCGUAGGCGGUCAGCACAAGUCAGUUGUGAAAUCUCCGGGCUUAACUCGGAAAGGUCAAGUGAUACUGUCGGACUAGAGUACAGAAGGGGCAACUGGAAUUCUCGGUGUAGCGGUGAAAUGCGUAGAUAUCGAGAGGAACACCUGCGGCGAAGGCGGGUUGCUGGGCUGAUACUGACGCUGACAGCGCGAAAGCUAGGGGAGCGAACGGG
rnacentral:rRNA from 1 species